rnacentral:misc_RNA from 1 species
GAUGAAGAACGUAGCGAAAUGCGAUACGUAAUGUGAAUUGCAGAAUUCAGUGAAUCAUCGAAUCUUUGAACGCAUAUUGCGCUCUCUGGUAUUCCGGAGAGCAUGCUUGUUUGAGUAUCAGUAAACACCUCAACUCCCUUUUCUUUUUUGAAAUUGGAGCUGGACUUGAGUGAUCCCAACGCUUUCUUCCAAGAAAGUGGCGGGUUGCUUGAAAUGCAGGUGCAGCUGAACUUUUCUCUGAGCUAUAAGCAUAUCUAUUUAGUCUGCCUAAAAAACAGAUUAUUACCUUUGCUGCAGCUAACAUAAAGGAGACUAGUUCUUGUGCUGACUGAUGCAGGAUUCACAGAGACAGCUUCGGCUGACUUUGUAAACUCGAACUCAAAUCAAGUAAGACUACCCGCUGAACUUAAGCAUAUCAAUAAGCGGAGGA